rnacentral:rRNA from 1 species
AGUGAACGCUGGCGGUAGGCCUAACACAUGCCAGUCGAACGGCCACACAGUAAGAGCUUGCUCUUACGGGUGGCGAGUGGCGGACGGGUGAGGAAUACAUCGGCAUCUACUUUUUCGUGGGGGAUAACGUAGGGACACUUACGCUACUACCGCAUACGACCUACGGGUUAAAGCAGGAGAUCUUCGGGCCUUGCGCGAUUGAAUGAGCCGAUGUCGCAUUAGCUAGUUGGCGGGGUAAAGGCCCACCAAGGCGACGAUGCGUAGCUGAUCUGAGAGGAUGAUCAGCCACACUGGAGCUGAGACACGGUCCAGACUCCUACGGGAGGCAGCAGUGGGGAAUAUUCGACAAUGGGCGAAAGCCUGAUCGAGCCAUACCGCGUGGGUGAUGAAGGUCUUCGGGUUGUAAAGCCCUUUUGUUGGGAAAGAAAAGCAGUAGGUGAAUACCCCGCUGUUCUGACGGUACCCAAAGAAAAAGCACCGGCUAACUUCGUG